CAACAACCUGCUGAACAGCUACCACGAUGCCCUGCAUCUAGGAGACCUGCUGCGCUACAACACCACUUUACACACGUUGGACCUAAGCAGCAAUGUUGUAGCAGAUUCUGGUCUGGAAGAGUUGUGUGAUGGUCUGAGGUUGCAAACGGCAGGUCUCAGGGUCCUACUGCUGAGGAACAACCAGAUCAGUGCAAAUGGAAUGGUCCAUCUGGCCAGCGCCCUGACUAAUGAGUGCGAGGAGCUCUGGACAGGAAGGGGCGUGGCUUAAACAACGUUGACGGGUUUGUGAGACGACACAUAGAGGAGAGCGUUUCCAACAACG
ensembl:lncRNA